AUCCACGCUGUAAACGAUGCUGACUAGGCACGGGCGAGUAUCGACCCUUGUCCGCGCCGAAGCUAACGCGUUAAGUCAGCCGCCUGGGGAGUACGGCCGCAAGGCUAAAACUCAAAGGAAUUGACGGGGAUCCGCACAAGCGGUGGAGCAUGUGGUUUAAUUCGACGAUAAGCGAGGAACCUUACCUGGUUUUGACAUUGCACUGCAAGCGCUAGAGAUAGCGCCGCCUUCGAGGGUGUGCAACAGGUGCUGCACGGUUGUCGU
rnacentral:rRNA from 1 species